CGACGGCGGAACCGCCGAGGUGCCCCAAUCCACGGGGAUAAUCGGGAAGCCGGUGCGAAUCCGGCACAGGCCCGCUGCGGUGACCUGGGAGCCGCCGAUCACGCGCAUCGCGCAGCCACUGGACGGCAGUCUGGGAAGGCGAUCGGACGGUGUUGAUCAGGAAGUCCGAAGACCGGCCUCGGCAUGGCUGCCGUUU
rnacentral:ncRNA from 17 species